rnacentral:rRNA from 1 species
AGAGUUUGAUCAUGGCUCAGGAUGAACGCUAGCUACAGGCUUAACACAUGCAAGUCGAGGGGAAACGACAUCGAAAGCUUGCUUUUGAUGGGCGUCGACCGGCGCACGGGUGAGUAACGCGUGUCCAACCUGCCCAUCACUUGGGGAUAACCUUGCGAAAGUAAGACUAAUACCCAAUGACGUCUCUAGAAGACAUCUGAAAGAGAUUAAAGAUUUAUCGGUGAUGGAUGGGGAUGCGUCUGAUUAGCUUGUUGGCGGGGUAACGGCCACCAAGGCGACGAUCAGUAGGGGUUCUGAGAGGAAGGUCCCCCAUAUUGGAACUGAGACACGGUCCAAACUCCUACGGAAGGCA